AAUCCUGCUGUGAUCUGAUUGGCUGACUGUGUCUUGAUAAAGAGCACCUGUGGCCCUUACUAAUUAUGUUUCAGUCUCCUUUUGUUUGAACCAAAAGCUGUUGUUCAGACAUGGCUUGUGUGGAAUCGUUGCGUUAUAAACCAACAAUUACCAUCAAUGCCAUCUGUGAAAUGUCUACUCCUAUAUGUCAGCACAAAUAAACUGGGAAAAGUACUUGAUGACUGAAUGAGUUUUAAUGGACCCACCAUUCCAGUAGCAACAGCCAAAUCAGCCUAAAU